AACAGGAUUAGAUACCCUGGUAGUCCACGCCGUAAACUAUGGAUGCUAGCUGUAAGAAGUAUCGACCCUUCUUGUAGCGAAGCUAACGCGUUAAGCAUCCCGCCUGUGGAGUACGGUCGCAAGACUAAAACAUAAAGGAAUUGACGGGGACCCGCACAAGCGGUGGAGCGUGUUGUUUAAUUCGAUGGUAAGCGAAGAACCUUACCCAGGCUUGACAUCCUGUGAAGGUCUCCGAAAGGAGACUGUGCCUUCGGGAAUACAGUGACAGGUGAUGCAUGGCCGUCGUCAGCUCGUGUCGUGAGAUGUUUGGUUAAGUCCAUCAACGAGCGCAACCCUUGUAGUUAGUUGUAUUUUUCUAGCUAGACUGCCCUGGUAACAGGGAGGAAGGGGGGGAUGAUGUCAGGUCAGUAUUUCCCUUACGUCUGGGGCUACAAACACGCUACAAUGGCCGGUACAAAGGGCAGCCAAAGCGCAAGCUGGAGCAAAUCCCAUCGAAGCCGGUCCCAGUUCGGAUAGCAGGCUGAAACUCGCCUGCUUGAAGAUGGAAUCGCUAGUAACGGUAGGUCAGCACACUACCGUGAAUACGUUCCCGGGUCUUGUACACACCGCCCGUCAAACCAUGAAAGUCGCCAAUACCUGACGUGUUAGCUUUGCCUAGCCCUAAGGUAGGGGAGAUGAUUGGGGUUAAGUCGUAACAAGGUAACC
rnacentral:rRNA from 1 species